UACGUAGGUGGCAAGCGUUGUCCGGAUUUAUUGGGUUUAAAGGGUGCGUAGGCGGUCUUAUAAGUCAGUGCUGAAAUAUCCCGGCUUAACCGGGAGGGUGGCAUUGAUACUGUAGGACUUGAGUAAAGUUGAGGUUGGCGGAAUUGACGGUGUAGCGGUGAAAUGCUUAGAUAUCGUCAAGAACACCGAUAGUGUAGACAGCUAACUAAGCUUUAACUGACGCUGAGGCACGAAAAGUGUGGGGGAUCAAAACAGG
rnacentral:rRNA from 1 species